rnacentral:rRNA from 1 species
CGGACGGGUGGGUAAUGUCUGGGGAAAACGCCCGAUGGAGGGGGAUAACUACUGGAAACGGUAGCUAAUACCGCAUAACGUCGCAAGACCAAAGAGGGGGACCUCCGGGCCUCUUGCCAUCGGAUGUGCCCAGAUGGGAUUAGCUAGUAGGUGGGGUAACGGCUCACCUAGGCGACGAUCCCUAGCUGGUCUGAGAGGAUGACCAGCCACACUGGAACUGAGACACGGUCCAG